rnacentral:rRNA from 1 species
UACGUAGGGACCGAGCGUUGUCCGGAUUCAUUGGGCGUAAAGGGCUCGUAGGCGGUUCGACAAGUCGGGUGUGAAACCUCCAGGCUCAACCUGGAGUCGCCACUCGAAACUGUUGUGACUAGAGUCCGGUAGGGGAGCAUGGAAUUCCUGGUGUAGCGGUGGAAUGCGCAGAUAUCAGGAGGAACACCAGUGGCGAAGGCGAUGCUCUGGGCCGGUACUGACGCUGAGGAGCGAAAGCAUGGGGAGCGAACAGG